UUAGGGGUAAACGGGAGAAAUCCGAAAAUUUGAAGGAAGUGAUUCACGUAAAAUCUAUACAUGUAUUAUAUAUUUUGAUCGAUGAUAUUUAAACUCCUUGUAUUCAAUUUUAUUGGGUGCUAAGGGUUCCGUUUAAUUUCACGAUUCAUGUAUAUAAAUGCUGUAUGGUUUACCGCAUUUCAACCUUCCUGAUUUAAAUAAACGUCGCGACCCAUUGGAUUGCAGUCUACGAAUUUAUAGGUAGUCCCAUGAAAAGUAUAAUAAUUUAUUUAUUGUAUCUGUUUUGUGUGGGCCUAUAAACCUUCUGACUGAUUAUUCGAUGGUAGCAAAAAAAAUAAAAAGAUACGCCCGCGCAUUGUCGCGUUUUGAAUAGUAUUGUAAUUUUUUUAUAUUUCAGUGUGAGUCUUUUAUUACGGACCAAAUGGUCCGUUUAAGAGUAAGCACUGUGAACAAUUCUAUUCUCAAACAGUGGCGUUUUCUUUGUCCGCGGCGAAUAUGUUUCGGAAUUUCGCCCGACCC
rnacentral:rRNA from 1 species